UACAGAGGGGGCAAGCGUUGUUCGGAAUUACUGGGCGUAAAGGGCGCGUAGGCGGCCUGCUAAGUCGAACGUGAAAUCCCUGGGCUCAACCCAGGAACUGCGUCCGAUACUGGUUGGCUUGAAUCCGGGAGAGGGAUGCGGAAUUCCAGGUGUAGCGGUGAAAUGCGUAGAUAUCAGGAAGAACACCUAUGGCGAAGGCAGCUCUCUGGGACGGUACUGACGCUGAGACGCGAAAGCGUGGGGAGCGAACAGG
rnacentral:rRNA from 1 species